GACAGAGGCCCCGAGCGUUAGGCGGAAUCACUGGGCUUAAAGCGUGUGUAGGCGGACCCCUAAGUGUCUUGUGAAAUCCCACGGCUCACCCGUGGAACCGCUGGGCAUACUGGGGGUCUUGGGCCGUUCAGGGGCGACUGGAACAAGCGGUGGAGCGGUGAAAUGCGUAGAGAUGUGGAGGAACACCGAUGGCGAAGGCAGCCUCCUGGGCUAGUACUGACGCUCAUGCACGAAAGCGUGGGGAGCAAACAGG
rnacentral:rRNA from 1 species